CGGUGAACAGGAGGGAGUCUGAAAGUUUUUAGAGAUGAGACAUUUGUGUUUCUCAGCUCCCAUGGCCUCGCCUGAAACUGUUUCCCUCCAUAGGAGAUUUGAGUAACCGAUCCCUUGACAAACAACUUAGGACAGCUGGAGCUCUAAUCGUCAAGGAUUUUUUUGGUGCUGCUUUUGAAGUAAAAAUAAAGUGAAACCCCUUAUGGCAUUUCAAGUGGAAAAAUAAAUAAGGAUGGCUUCCAACCAAGGGGCUUAAGGUGAUGGCUGGAAGUGCGAGAGUGUGGCAGGUACUGUGGCUGUGACCUUUGAGACAAAGCGAGUAGCUUGUCAGGGAUCUGUGCUGAGUGUCCACCUCUCAAUCUCUUUUCCUUCUAGAAAACCUCAGUGAGCACUGCUGUCCAAAGCACAGUGCUGUUGUAAGGGUUUAUGGAGGUAACCGUUGCGAAAGGGCUUUGGUGAUUUCAUAGGUCACAUGUCUUAUCUAGAUUUUUAAUUUAUUGCCAUAAAGGUUUGUAUUUUCUCCUUCCCCUUUUAAAUUUCCCCAUUGUCAGUUUGUCCCUUUUUUUCAUUCCUAGCAUUGCUUGUCCAUGCUUUCUUUUUUCUUGACCAAAACUUGCCAAAGAUUUAUCUAUCUUAAAGAUAUUUUCAAAGACUUGAACUUGUAUUGAUUAUAUAUGCUGAAUAUUUUCUGUCUGGUCCUCUUGUGCUUUUACCUCUGAAUUCUUCUUUUCUGGAUAUAUUUCAUGGUUCAACAAAGUCUUGACAAGCUGCAGAGUCCUACACAUGGAAAGGAAGAUAUAUUCAGCAAAAACUGAGCCCUUGUAUGAGGCUUGCCGGGGAUUUCGGGGCAAGACCCAGGCCUGACCCUCCAGGAGCGCAUGAUUCUAGCCUAGUGGGGAAGACUUAAGAAAAUAGACAAUUGCAAAUUCCAAAAACAAAACAAGCAAACAAACAGGGCUUUUGUGGCCCCACUCUCCCGUGGAGGCACCUGGAUGAUAAAUGAAGCCAAGAUUAUUGUUUAUUUUGCUCUUCCUCAGAAAGCAGCUUUCUGUUGUAGGUCAAGCCCGCUUAAAAGUUACAAACAGGCCUCCCUCUGAAAGAUUUGUGGCCCUUUCCCACAGGGAGCCUGCAGCCCACUCCCCCCCCAAGGUGACUGCCAAAUCAGCAUUCUGUCUCUGAGGCAGCGCUGCUUUCUACCUUGGCAAGGCAGCACCGGCAAGCACCCUGCCUUCUCUUUCUGAAACACCUUUCAGGAAAAUGAAAAGUAGAUACCUCUUGGGAAAAGAACAGGGGCACUGGGCCUUCGAAAAUCAUGCUGUGCGAUCCCUCUGGUUGCUGUGGCUUCCAGUGUGAAAUGGUUGCUCACAGGGUACCUGGUAACCACAAGACCCCUUGAGGCUUCUGUCAGAACUGCUCUGUGCGCUGCUCUGGACCUCACCUUCCUUAUAGAUAAAAUGUGGUAUUUGGAACAAACAGUUCCUAACCCUAAAUACUGGGAAUCCUUCAUAAGGUUCUUAAAGUGCUCCUGGAUGCACUUGAGGAAGGUGACUGAGCUCUGGAAAGGUGGCAGUUCCCUUGCAGGACAGCCUGCAUCUGCUUUAUGAUUAAGUGUACCCUGUGAACCUAGAUAUGCCUCUGUCAGGAAGCCUUCCUGAACUUCAUCCCUCUGCCUGAAGAUCACUUGCCUAGAGCUCUUUGCUCAACCCUCUGUUGAGUGGCAGUGCUAGUGCUUCUGCUCAUCAGAUGUCCGCUAAGCAGUGACUCGGUUUCUCCCACCCCUCAGGGGAACCUGCACUGUUAUUCAUUCAGUCAGGGGAUAGGAGUGGGCCUGAGGGCCACACAGAGUAGACAGUGCCUGCCAUUAAGGAGUCAUCCAGGCUAAUGGAAAAGGGUGGGAUAUUGGGUAAAUAAUCCCACCAAUACAUAUAAAACUAUGAAUGGCGGCAGGUGCUAUAACAGGAGUCCAAAGGGGGAUCUGAUGCAAGCCAGGGAGGAUUGAUGUUCAGGCUGAGACCUGAGGACAAAUAAAUGUUUGGGCAGUGAACUAAUAAAUGAGAUGUUAUUUCUCAGCAUUUCAUCAAGCAUCUUUGUUCUUGAAGAUAAAGAAAUGGGGCUGAAAGUCAAAUGAAGGGCCACCAGUAGCUGGCUGCCCUAGAAUCAAAGCCCCAGAAAGCUUUUGGGGAUAGAAGUCAGGCUAUUCAAAGCUUCAAGAACUGUACUGGAAGAUACUGAGGGGCCUGAGGCUGACAUGCUAGUGGCGGGCCCCCAAACAGUGCCGAGGAACUCUUCGAUUUCCAGCUGACUUGGAAGCAUCACAAACAGGGAUCUGGUGGGAAUAGGGGAUGACCCAAUCCGAACAGCAUUUUUAAGGUGAGAUUCUUUCAGCAAGGAACAGGACAGCUAACAUUUGAGUAGUGAAGGCUAUAGGGCUGUUGAGAAGGCCAUUGUCCUGUCUGGCUCCUGAGAAACAAGGAAAAGUGGAUCUAAGUAGUGAUGGUGGUUGGAGAGAUGAAGGGAGGAGAAAGUAAGCUGGGGAGGGAGGAGGAUGGAGAAAGGUGAUGGAAGGAAAGUUGCCUCCCAUGGAACAGCUUCAGGAAAGGAGGCCAGAGAAAGGUUAUCACCGGUGUCUAGUCCCCUGCAUCCAGUGCAAAGCUCACCCCUCACCCUCUACCCACCCCAUAAUGGGUGAGAGGGUCACCACUCUGAAAAGAGGGAAGAGCAAAGAAGUGCUCUUCCCAACAAGUACUGUAAGGUGAUCCUGACUCAGAGGGGUUUAUCCAGCCUCUGCCCAGUACUUUGCCUCACCACUGUCUUCCCAAAAGCCAGAAGAGGGGUAAGUUUGGUCUGCCAAACUUCAGAGAAAGAAGUCAGUAUCUUGAGAAAAACUUUAAUGAUAGAGUGGGCUUGGGGAAGGGAGAAACCUGGCCCACCAAUGGCUGAAGACUUCAUAUGGAAGCCAUUGGUCUCCCUUUAACGUAUUGGGACUCAAACAGUGGGUGGGAGUAGACUUGGGGAACAGUUUAGGACCAACAGACCUUGAGAGGUGAGCUUCAGGGAGCCCUGGACCCUAUGCCCCCGCCUUUGUGACCACACCUCCUGGAGCCUGUUUCCUCACCUGUAAAAUGGACAUCUUAACAUCCACCGUAGCCUGGCUCAAGAUGCAGUCUUCACAAAUGUUAUUCCCUUUCUUCUUUGGCCGUCCACCUCUAACCCUUAUUGGGCUCAAGCCUCUUAGGGAUGUGAUCUGAUCAUCCAACUCUCCUGCUCAUUUGUUCAUGCUAAAGCAUUUGUCAGGCCCUGUGCCAAGCUUUGAGAAGCUGAUGCAGAACAAGACCAUGCUGUCCUUGAGCUCAGCCCAGCAGGAAGGAGGCACCCUAGCAGCCCAAUAGGCAGAUCUUUGGAGUGCCAGAUCUGGCCUCUCACCUCUUUUCUUGGGCAGCUGUGGGGAGUCUACACUUGGCCAGCUUAGCACUUCUGCCAAAGCUAAACCCUCAGCCAAUUCCCUGCCCCACACUGGUGGUUGCAGCCCUCUAAGGAGGCCCGACCCCCACCCACUUUCAUUUCCCAUGUGACUUUGUUCUCUUCUGCUCACUCUUCCCAAGGCGUCUGUUCCCUGUAUAUAUGCCAAGGAGGGGACUGCACCAGACCGGAAGUCUUUAACAUUUCCAGAGCCAUCAGUGAACUUCACCCUUGUUAUUUCACUACUCUUGUUACUUCUUAGAGAUACAGGGUGAAAGUGUGUUACAAUAAGCAAGUGUUUCAUGAAAGGAUUUUUUUGCAUUAAAGACUAAACUUCAAAUCUAUUGGGUGCAGGAUCUGAGAGUCAGGGCACACUUGGGAAGAUCCCUGAGGGAAGAAGGCAAACAAAGCCCAUCAGUGACUCCCUGUUGCCUGUGCUCCCAACUCAGGUUGGCCAUCAAAACCCUGUACAACCCUUGAGGGUGGGCACUUGGUCUUCAUCUCUUGACCAGGCAUCGCCUGACCAGACCUGGCCGGGAACCUGCUGAUUAGCUGGCCAGGGGAGUGGAUGGAGGGAUGGCUCUAAUCUGGGACUUUCUAAGGACUUAGGUGGCCCAGUCCUUCCUACAAGUAAGAAAAUUCAGUUUGUGUCCCAGUGUCUCCUUAGCUACUCUGAAGUGACAAUAUUUUCCAGCCUCCAGAUGAAUAGUUCAUGCACAGAAAUCACGGAGACUACUAUUUCUCAGAUAUGUGAGAAUAACCUUGUAAAAGGCUCUACAGCCUGGCAUGCUCCUGCCAACAGGUGGCUAUGAGUCACAUGUUCUCUCUGGGCCUCAAUUUCCCCAUGUGCACAAUGAGGCAGUUGGACUAGGUAAUCUCGAGUUGCUUUCCAGUUCUAGCAUCGCCUUCAGAUGCCCUGGUACCUAAGCAGUCAUUGGACAGAAGGCGUGGUGACUCCAGGGUCUGGGUCAAGUCCACAUCUUGGAACAUGGAUGAAUCUUGGUGAUGGCUGCAGCCUCCAGAAGAUGAGCUUGGCAGAACUGGCUGGGAGAUUUUUCUGCCACUGGCAACAUGUCCUGGCAGAGUUGAUGCAGGUAGGUUGAUGCAGAUGAGGGGCAGGGUUGGGCUCUCCCUUCUCUUGUGAUCCCUGUAUCAUGCUUAUUUGCAGGAUCAGAAGCCUCCAGAACUGGUGGGUGCUGGCUAGAUUCAGCCAUUCAUAUUGGCAAAGCGGGUAAACGGUCUUUUCACACACUGUCCUGGGAGGGCUUCCAGAAAGGUUUUCUGCUUCCAUUCCUUGAAGUCCUCUCUCUAUUUCAUUGUCUGUGCCUGGAAUCAUACUUUCUCAUAGCCUUCCAAUUCCCCAUCCAGGUGGCAUGUUCUGUGAGAAGAUUGUGGCUCUGAUGCCAUAACCAGUCAGGAAUGGUUUAGCUCAGAGUCAGAGCCAUGAGAGUAAUUCUUGUCCAAAAUUGGGGCUCUGACUAUUGAAAGAAAAAUAUUAAUCCAUUUCCAGUGUCACCUCAGAACACACACCCAAGUUCAAAACCUAUUUUAAAAAGUCAAAAAGGAGAUAUGAGCCCAUUAAAAGCCAGGGAAGAAAUGAAUUGGAUAAUUAAUGAGUGAAUGGAGAACCCCACUAGGGUAAAAAGCAACAAAAUGACAUCAAGCAGGCAAAGACCAGCCAAUCUGACUACAUAAAACUAAGUAUUUCCAAAGUCAAACCAUACCACAAACAGAACCAAAAAGUAAUGGGUAAACUAUUUGCAGAUCCAUAUGUGUAAAAGGACACAAGCAAACCUUAACAGUAAAAAUGCAACCAAGAAGUGUAUACCUAAAUUGACCUUACAGAAGAGGAAAUAGAACUGAUUAAAAGUUUUUUUGAGAAAAUAAUCCACUAAUAACCAAAGAUCAACAAUAAAAAACAAUAAAGAGUGAUGCCUGGAUGGCUCAGAUGUUAAACUUCCAACUCAUGGUAUCGGCUCAAGUCAUGAUCUCAGGGUUGUGGGACUGAGCCCUGCAUCAGGCUCCAUGCUAAGCAUGGAGCCUGCUUAAGAUUCUCUCUCUCCCUCUCCCUUUGCUCCUCUCUUGGAAAAAAAAAAAGGAAAUAUGAGUUUUCACCAACAAAUUAAGGGGGAAAGUUUGAGGAUACCAAAUGCUGAUGAGGAUACAGUGGGCCAGGCACUAUUAUUCAGUGCUAAGGGGACUGUGAAUUGGUGUAAACUUUUUGAAAAGUAGUAUGAGAGUCAAAGAGAAGGAGCAAGAUGAAAGUUUCAAGAAAGGGCAAGUGGCCUAUAUAUUUACACAUUUAUUGUCUACUUUGUGUCAGGCAUGGUGCUAGGUGUUAAAAUAUGAAAAUAAAUGAGAUAUAGCAUAUCUUGGGCAUAUAAUCAAAGAGGUAAGAUACACAGAUACUAAAAUGAUGUGUACUAAGAAGGCCAGAGAUGUGCUUGGGACAUGAGCAAAGCAUGGAGCAGCUAGGAUGGGUGGUGCAAAUGUGAGGCUUUAUAGGAGUAUCUGGGGGGUUCUUAGAAGAGAUGCCCAAAUGAGCAAGAGUCACAGAGACAGAAGUCAGCAUCAUGAAUGAGCUCGUAGAUAGUUCAGGGUUGCCAGAGCAUGAAGUAAGAAGUAGGGGAUGGAGAAGCUGGGACCAGAUCACACAGUGCCAUGUCUGUCCAGUUGAAGAGCUGGGUCAUCUUCCUCUUGACAAGAGGGACCCUUUGAAACACUUUGAGCAGCCAGGUCCCAAGGUGUAAGAUUUAUGUUUUAGGGUGACUACUCUGGUUGCUUGGAGACAUUUGGAGGGGCAAAGACUAAUGAGAUGAUUGUGUUGGUCCAAGUAGAAAGGGCAAGGCCUGAAUUAGGGCAGGGGCCAAGAGGAUGGAGAGAAGGUAAAGUUAGAAAAACCUAAAAAACAAAACAAAAACAGAAACAAACCUGCUGGCUGACUAAUGGGUUAAAGAAAGUCAAGGGUGCCUUCCCUGUUUCUGUCUUGGGUGACUGGGUGGAUGAAAGAAUACCCAAGAGAAAGGACAGACUUAGGGGCUGGAGGAAGAUUGUUGAGCUCAAUUUAGGACAGGUUGAAUGAAAGGUGGGCAUCCAGGUGGAGGUGGCCCACAAGGAGCUAGGAAGAGGGUUUGGAUCCAGCGGGAGAUUUGAACAAAAGAUUUGGUUUAUAACUGAUUGCGAUUGUAGCUGUGGGCUUUGAUGAGGAGGAUAGCUGGAGAACUAGGGAUGAGCUUGAAGGAGAAGGUGCAGAAUUCCCAGAGCAGGGCCAGAUACUGAGCUGUGAUGGGCAUUUUAAGAAUGGAUGCAGGAGAGGACCUGCCAAGGAGACUGAGCAAGAAGGGCUAGAGGAGAAGACCAGAAAAGUGGGCAUCCCAGAAACCCAGGGAGGUGAGAUUUUCCAUGGGUCAGUGUGGCUACUGGUGGGCCCGAUGCACAGAGGUCAGGGGAGAGAAGGGCAUCUCCCACACCUGGUUUUGGGGUCCUUCGCCACAGCAACUCUGGGGGAGGGAUGACCUGGAGUCUGGCCGAGAAAGCAAGAGAGGAAAGGGAGAGCUGGGGCGGGGGGGACAGCAGGGCCCAGGAAGGUGCUGUGUCUUACCCACUGACAUUUGGAGGGUGGAGGGCUGUGGGAGCCAAGUUUGAGGAGCAGGAACGGGUCACACAAGGGGCCCCGGGAAUCGUGAGAUUAAGUGUGGAGGUGAAGGGAUUAGCCUUGUUGGUGGAAAGAGGCAAAAUUAAAUCAUGUACAUCUUACGAGGUAACUUGAUCUCCAUGUUCUUCUGGAGGCUUUUUCUCUGCCCUCUGGGCACCGACUACAGCUCUAAUUAGCAGUAGUUUCAUCCUGCCUCAUGUCUGGGGCCAUGUCUUCCUCGUUUCUUGUACCUUUUGGCACCUAGCAACAGACAGCGAGCUAGGUAGAGGCAGAAUAAUUAUCUUCUGCUUGAAAUCAAAUGCCUGAAAUGGAGGUUCAGAAUUCUGUUUCAUCACAAAGGUUUUAUGACAAUUCCCAGGGAAUCAGUGAACAAGGAAAUAAAAUUCAAGGUUGGGGCUGCCUUGGAUGUGAGGCUGUCUGCAUCUCAGGAGAUACAACCUGUAAUCCUCUGUGGGCAGAACUCUACAGUUUACAUGGUGGAUCAUUAUGUUUGUCUCAUAACCCCAUCCUCCCACCCCAGAUGGAUAACCAGCUUGCUAAGCACCAUUUAUUAUCCCAACACCAUCUUUUCUCCCAGUUCCCUAUGUCUAGACUAUUCAGAUCUGUUGAUCUGUCUACUUCUGGGCCAAUACCAGACUUUAAUGAGCAGAGCUUUCUUUUACUGCCUGAUAAGACAUGGUGUGUACACACUGGAGGUGUUGCUCUCAGGUUAGUGUACCCUGCAAGAUUCCUAGUGUAGCUUGUUGCAGCUGGUGACUGGUGGCCAUAACCGAUUACACCACGUUUGAUUUCCUUGCUUCCUGUUAAUUGACUGUUAAAAUGUUCCCAGUUCCAUUCCAUUAAGACAAAUCUGUGAGAGCAUCCUUGUACAUUGCCUGUUUUGCACAUGUACAAGUGUUUCUCUGGGACAGAUACUUGAAAAUGGAAUUGAUGGGUCAUAGGGUACAUACAUCUUGAAUUCUAAUAGGAACCGCUAAAAUGUUCUCCGAAGUACCUUACUAAUGUAAUCUCCUGCCAGCUGCAUAUGAGCAUCCAUUUCCCAGGCUGUUUCCAAGUUUUACAUGUAUAACCAGUCUGAUGAGUGAAAAAUAGUAUCUUGUUUCCAUUUGAAUUUUUCUGAUUUACCUACAAGACUGAAGUCUUCAUCUAUUUACUGUCCAUAUUUAUAUUUCCUCCUCUGGAUUGCUUGUCCACAUCCUUUGCCUAUUUUUUUAAAGUUUUUUUCUUUUGUCUUUUUGCUAUUGACCUUUAGGAGUUCUUUAUGUAUUUUGAAUACUAAUACUUUGUUAUGUAUAUUGCAAAUGUUUUCUACACUGUGAUUCUUGUUACUUAAUUAUAUGGUAUCUUUUGUCUCAGAAAUUUAAAAUUUGAUAAAUCAAAUUUAUCAAUCUUACUUUUAUGUCUUUUUUACAGUCUUAUUUAAGAACACCUUUGCUAUAUGAAGGCCAUAAGCAUUUCCUAUGUUUUCUCUAAAAAUUAUAGUUUACAUAUAAAUAUAUAUUUAAGCCUUUGUACUAUAUACACAAACUAAAUUCUAUAUGCAUGGAUCUUAAGAUCUGACUUUAAACUCCCCAUUCCCAAAUAGAUAGGUAAUUGUCCUAACACCAUUUAUGUAAUAAUAUAUCAUGUCUCCACUGAUUUAAAAUUGCUACCUUCACCUGACACUAAAUUCCAAUGCGAGUCUAUGUCAGAGCUCUUUCUGGUCCACUGAUCUAUUUGUCUACUCCUGAGCUUGAUAAUAUGCUUUACCAACUGGCGGGACAAAUCCCACCCUCUUUGUUGUUUUUGCAAAAUUGCCUUGGUCAUCCUUGCAUAUUUGUCCCACCACAUGAAUUUUUAAAUCAGUCUGCCGGGUUUCAGGAAAAAUUUCAUUGGGAUUACUUUGAGUUUACGGGUAAGUUUGAAGAAAAUUGGCAUCUCUGGCAUAUUUGGUCUUCCUACCAGUACACAGUGCCAGGCUACCUCUCUUAGGCCUGGUCUUAUAUGUCUUCCUGGGAAGUUUUACAUGUUCCUCUGGUCAAAGUCUUGAAUAUUUCUUGAUAAAUUUAUUCCUGGAUUUAUCUUAGGUUUGGCUGUCACCUGAGAAUAGACCUCUCCUUUGUUUGUUUGGCCCUUGUUUUUCUUUAUUCCAUUUCAACCUGUUUACUAAUCACUGUGCUUGGUUUGCAGACACACACACAAAGUAACUGUUCUUUCUCCCUGGCACAAACAUAUGAGCAUAACCAAACACAUGGAGCUGGCAUAAUUGGCUGAAAACAAAUUAGAACCGUUUUAAAUUAUACUUUAAUUAAACACGCAGAGCAUGAAUACAUUCUCCUUUUUAAAAGUAGAACAAUACCAAUAUAGCUAAAGUUUCCUUUGGCCACCCUCUGAAACCCUGGUUUCCUACCCCCUCCACAACUUUAUGUGUCUCCUUUCAUAGAAAUGUAUAGUAGUCAUGUAGAUAUUUUGAAUGGAUCAUCCCACUUUAUGAGGAUUUUACUGUAAUUAUUUCACUCAAUCAUAUAUUUUUAGAAUAUACUCAUACAAAUGGCUCUUGCUGGUUCCUUUUAGUAGCUGUAUUGUAUUCAUUCCUCUGAUAAUACCACAUUUUCUCUUCUCUAAGAUCCUUGGACAAACGCAGUUGCUUUCUUUUCUUUCCUCCAUCAUAAGCAGCACUGCAGAAAACAGCCUUGCACAUGCUUGCUCUGUAAUUUUUUUCUGGGAUUGAGAAUGGAAUUUGGGGUCCCAAGGUGUCCACAUUUUUAGUUUUAACAGAUACUACCAAUGUGUCCUCCGUAAUUUCUGUAUCGUUUAAACUUCCAGUAAGAGGAUAUGAGAGGACUCAAAUCCUCAUACCAUAAGCAGCUGUUUUAAAUAUUUGCCAAUCUGAUGGGUGAAGAAUGGAAGCAUUUUUUAUAUGUCGGUAGAUAUGUUUGCAAGUGAGAUUUUCAUGGGCACUGACAUUUGUAUUUUCCUUUUUCUGAAUUAUCUGUUUAUUUUUGCUCAUUAAAAUAGAUGGUUUGUCUUUAUCUUAUUGACUUGUGGAAUUUCCUAAUAUAACCCAGAUAUUAAUCUCUUAUAUAUACAUGGCGAGUAUUUUCUUCUGGCUCAUCUGUUGCCUUUAACUCUUUGUAGGCUCUUUUAGAAGUUAUCAGUUUUGACCUAACCAGAUUUAUCAGUCUUUUCCUUUAUUCCUUUUAUGGAUAUAUCACACUUAAGCCUUUCUCACACCUAUGGCUUAAAUAUAUUCUGUAUUCUUGUCUAAUAAAUUUGUCUUUAUUUGGGUCUUUCA